ensembl:lncRNA
GGUUGUUCCAAGCCAGUAAGGAUGUGUUUUUUUAUAAAGGGAUAUGUUUUGUCAUAAUAAGCCUUAUCCAACAGUUUCAGAGCUGCUCAGAGCUCUGAGAUUCAAUGCCGUGUCUCUUUCUGUAUUGAAUUGUUUUAUUUGCAAUUUGCUCUCUGUUCUUUUGUUUCCUAAGUGCGUCUGCAGCCCUCGCUUUUGUGAGCUCUCUGCCAGGCUUGGAACUGCCCCAGAUCUGAUGAUGAACCUGCAGAAGAGAGCAGGAGGUGGACAGAAGGCUUCCUUGAGGUGCAUCAUGUUGGCGGGCUCUCCUCAGCUGAGCACUGCAUGUCCGAAGAAGGGCAAUGAAGCUGUGAAGUCUUAUGAGGAGUGGCUGAGGGAAGUAGGAUUGUUUCAGUCUGGAGAAGAGGCUCAGGGCAGACCUCAUUGCUUUCUGAAAGCAAGUUGUGGCAAAGUGGGUGUUGGUCUCCCAAGUAACAGGGAUAGGAUGAGAGGUGAUGGCCUCAAGUUGUGCCAGGGGAGGUUCAGCUUGGUAUUAGGAAACAUUUCUUCUCUGAAACAGUGGUCAGCUGUUGGAACAGGAUGCCCAGGGAGGUGGUGGGGUCACCGUCCCUGAGGCGUUCCAGAACCACGGAGAUGUGGCACUGAGGGACAACAUCAGUGAGCACGGUGGGGAUGGGUUGGGCUUGGGCUUGGUGAUCUUAGAGGUCUUUUCCCAGCUUUAUGAUACCAUGAGUCUGUGAUCUAGGGUUGAACAGGAGAGGCCAACAAAAGGACAGCUGUCAGGGAUCAGAGCUAUUCAGCAGCUUCCCUUAGCCCAACGUCAUCUGCAGCUCUAGCAUGUGGACUUGGUGUGGAGAUAAACAACUGAUUGUGAAAUCCCCUCCUGUGCUGUCACCUCCACUGGCAGACCAAUGACUUUUGGGAAGGCAGUCUGCCCUUCACAGCCAAACACAAGGAUAAAUGAGGUUGCACUGUGGGCAGUCAACCCUGAGUGCUACAUGAAAACCUGGAGGCAUCAGGCCUUGCUUGCAAAGAGAUCUUUAGAAGCCGCCUGAAUGUGGUCCUGGGCAAUUGGCUCUAGAAUACUCCGGUUAAAAUGACCUCCAGAGGUCCCUUCCAACCUCAAAAUCUCUGUCAUUUUGUAAAACCUUCUGCACUGUGGGAGAGUUCAGCCCCCAUGACCAAAGUCCAGGACAGAUCUUCCACUGAGAGGGAUUGGGUGCCUCCACUGGGUUCAGUUUCAGGUUAUAUUCAAUAAGGCCUCUUGCCAGGUUUUUAAAUGCAAUAGAGAAGCCAACCCUAGUCACCACAGUAAGCCAUAGGCAAUUUUUGCCUAUGUCAAUAAGGAGAGGUGAGGCCUUUGUAAGGAGAGGAUGUGCAAGAACUGCCAUAGAGCACAGCAGUUUGGCAGUUGCUUCUCCCAGUUCACAUUACCAAGGUAUCGAUAGCAAGUCGAAUGGCCCCACGGUUCUGGAUUCGAUGUGCAAGAGACUGUUUAUAGCAUCUGCUGAGAGGCAGUUACUUUUACUCUCAUUGGCAAAUCAUUGUUUACGUCUCGUGUUUCGAAAUGCAGCUGGGUUUCAGCCUUUCCUCACCAACUGGCGGAAUCUGUGCCCAUGUGCUGCUCUUUAGCAACACAAACAGCACAGCCAGAAUCCACUUAGCAUGGUUUGCUAACCCUCCAAACACGCAAGGCUUGGCUACAAGCACGCCAGCUUGUUUCCAACAGCUCCUCAAGCAGAGAGCACAGUGGGAAAGUCACAAUUGGGUUAAGGGGUGGCUGAACACCUGCUGAGUAGCCCAAAACAAGAAUGGGCUUGAUUCUUGCAUCAAGGUCAAGUGUGCCAUUUAUCUUCUCAACGUGAAUCAUCUUCUUUUCCUCUGUUCCAUUUGUUAUUCUAGUGAUGUCUGCUGAUUCUUGUACAUUUCACUCAUUCUGCCUUUUUUUCUGGGGGGGGGGGGGGGCUGUCAGCAACACCAGCAUCCAUCUAGCUCAAAGAUGUUAUGUUGCAGGAAAGAUUCUGAGAACUCAAAUGGGAUCUCAAGUUAUGAAGGUACAGAUUAAAGGCCAUGAGAAGAUGUACAGAGAUAACUGCGGUGAGCUUGGAGGGACCACAUUCAUCCAUUCUGAGCUGCACUCAGUCACUGGAUCAUCAGAGAAUCAUAGAAUGUCCCAAGUUGGCAGCAACCUCAACGAUCCUUGAGUCCAGCUCCUGGCUCCCUGCAGGACCACACAAGAACCAAACCAUAUGUCUGAGAGUGUUGUCUGAAUUCUUCUUGAACUCCAUGAGGCCUGGUGUCAUGACCACUGCCCCGGGGAGCCUACAAAGAAAGUAAAGCCUGAAUGCACGCUAAAGCCUCUCCUGCUGUGCUGCUUGUUCCAGCCUGGAAGGAGGAAGCUCAGCCCUCCUUAUGGAUCUGUCCUCAGAUAUGGGAAGAAGAGACGUGGACACUGGGAAGAGACAGAGCAAAUAUCAGAUGUGUGCAUCAGCAGAACAGCCAACAGCUCCAGGAAUUCUGCAGGAGCAUCUCCAUUCCUCAGGGGCUCAUCGAGAUUGACAGUGUUUGUCAUGGGAAACGAAAACUUUCAGCAUUUCCAUUUGGAAGAGAGAGGUGCAAGGAGAAAGCUGCAUUCAGACUCUGUCAUCCCACUUUGUUUUGACUUCUGUGCUAAACCAAGACAAAACAGGAUGAAGCAAGACUCUGUGAAGCUAAAAUAAAGUUUUUUUUUUUUAAUCCCAAUAUGCUGAGAUUAAAA